rnacentral:ncRNA from 1 species
CUCUGAAUGGCAAUACUAUUCAGGGCGGAAGGAG